GCUUUUUAAAAAGUGAUUGUAUGAGUCAGAUUCCCAGUAGGAAAAGAUGGCACUUUCAUAUUGGGAUCAUUUAGGAAGAAAUUUAUAUGUAGAGGGAUUGAUUACAAAGUUGUAGACAGGGUAUCCUGAACCAUGAAAAGAAAGGGAAGAAACCCAGGGUCAGUAGCUGUAGAGCUGUUUCCACCUGUAGGCCUGGAGAGGACGCAGAGGAAAGUCCCAUACAGCAAGCUGCUUGGAGAGGGGCAGGAACUUUCAGGCAAAAGAAGAGGCAGCCUCAGGUGACUGUAGUGGUGACAGCCAGAGGAAAAAUACCCUGCCCUUGUUCUCCUUUCCCAUUACCAUAUGUCUGAUCUGCUGGGGCUUCUCAUUGACCAAACCCAUCUGAAUGCUGGUGGGCAAGGAAGUCUGUUGAUACAACCCACUCAAGUCAACCUCCAAGGCAGAGAGCCGGUUGAAUUUGGAGGGCCAAACUAAGAUAUCAGGCAAAGUAAUUGCAAAAAUUCACUAGAGACACACUAGCGAUCACAUUUGAGCCUCAUGGGAUUAAGCAACAUACAUCAUGUAACAUACAAUCGCGACACGUCGUCAGUCAGCUGAGACUAGAACUCCAUCUCUGCAUCCACUAUGCUUCAUAAGUAUCCCAUACUUACCUCUUACAGCAUAUGUACAGGUCUUGUGUGUGAAAUUACACCAGUUUGUAUUGUUAUCUUACCAAAAUUAAUAAUAUUGGGAAUUUAUUAGCUGGGGAUUGGGGUUUGCCCACAUUAGGAAUGUUUUGGAAUAGUAUUUCAUCUCACAAAACUUAUUUCCGUCCAUACUAUAACUUCCUGAAAAUUACUUUCAGUGACCAAACAUGUUAUAGAAAAUUGCUAUUUUUUGUGAUUUUUAAGUCCUACAGAUGUGGGGUACAGUGAAAAGAGGAAUUAUAAUAACCCUCUGACUAUAGGAGUCUUUGCUGAAGUGGCUUAAAAUUUGGAACUUAUUUGGUUAAAAUUAAAAGCAGUAAAACUCUUAAUAUAUUAAGAAUUUCCAUUCCCAAGAUGAAUUCUACCCUUCGUUGUUAAAAUAUGGUUACUGUUAACAUGUUCAGCUGUUUUCUUACCUUAUUCUUUUCACUGUUCUAUUAAUACCAUCUGGUCAUAUUAUACCAAUUAAUUUCCCACUUGUUGAAUGCACUUGUGUUCUAUCAGGAGUAAGGGUUGCAGAUUAUGAAGCAUGUCUUCAAACUCUGCUCACAUUCUGGAAACACUUGAUCACAAUGCUCACUCUGAAAUCAAAGAUCUUGCUCAUGAACAACAAUUUUUGUGCCACGUCUGACAUAAAUGGUCUCCGUGCAUUCUAGAUCUUCCCUCCUUUCUCAUAGAACUUGCAUGGUUAGCAAUUAUGAACAAACUCUUAAAUCAAAACAGUUAUAUUUAUGUAGCUUACUCCUCAGGUCUUUUAUAUCACUAUAUCAAGGAGUAGAAAUGGUCAAUGUCAGCUGAGUUUUUCUGCUGCAUCUGUGAUGAUAAUAUUUUAUUGCAAAUAUUGCAUGUACCCAACCUACUCCACAAAGAAAUAUAUUCCCUUGAUUUUCUACUAGUGAGAGGCUCUUGUUAGGUUUGAAUGCCUGUUGCAUAUAAAAGGUCCUAGUACCAAAAAAAAAAAAAAAAAAAAAAAAAAAAGACCAUUUCAAUAUAAAUGCAACAUUUUCUCUUUAUUAGAAAACAAUCAACUAUAAUUAGUGAAAGACUAUUCUAGCUUUAUAAAUACUUUUAGUGAACCUUUAAACAUUUCUGUUCAUCCUUUCCUUUUUACCAGGCAGUGUGACAGCACGUGCCAUUUGUUGUCCAAAUAUAGUAAAGAAUUCAGCUAUUUCAUAUAGGUAUAGUGUUUGCUUUUAGAAAAUUAAUUUAAGAAUUUUGAAGCAUAAUACAACCAUCUUGCUAAUAGAGCUGGUAAUUUUUAAUGAUUCCAUAAUAUUUCACCUAGUAUUGAAUGUAUUUUGCUUAAUUAUCUGCUAUUGAGUAUAAAGUUGCUCACCACUACAAAUAGCACAACAAUGAAAAACAUCCUGCGCAUAGCUUUUCCUAUUCUUUGAAUUUUUUCCCAGAAGUAAGUUGACCGAAUGAAAGUGUGUGAACAGUUUUGUUACUUAAUGAUACAUAUUGUUAAUUAUUUUCUAAAAGGGCUUUAACUAAUUUAUGUUGCCAUCAGCAAUGUUCAGGAGCCCCUGCUUCACUCCCACCUUCCCAGGCAUUAGUUUGUCACCUUUUUUUUUUUUUUUUUUUUUUGGUAAUUUUUACAGGCUAAUAGGGACAACUUGUUUCAUUUUGUUACAAAACUUGUUCAUUUGUCAGACUUGUUCAUUUGCUAUUUUCUCAUAACAUGGUUGGAUAUUUGUAUUUAUUUCUCUUAAUACCUGCUUCUUGUCAAUCUGAAUGAGUUCUUUAAUAUAAUAAAUAUGUUAAUCUUA